rnacentral:lncRNA from 1 species
GAUUUAGAUGCACUAUUGUAAAGUGGUUGUUCCACUGGAUAUCAUAAGGUGAAUGCACCAAUUUGUAAGUCGCUCUGGAUAAGAGCGUCUGCUAAAUGACUUAAAUGUAAAUGUAAAUCAUCAUGGAAUUUGUAGUUCUUUAUGAUAUCCACAUUAGCAGCUAAUUAGCAUUUCAUUGGGGGGGAAAUUCAGGCUAAUAUAUUGAUAAAAGUCACCUUGUCCAAGAGAGAUUUACAUGGUUAUCAAAACGUCACGCCAUGGUAAGCCUACACGAAAUACAGCCCUUAUUUUAAGUGUUUCUAAAAUCCCCUACGGGGAAAAAUGACUGGUGGAAAAACGAUUGGAACCAUUUCCUUGUUUGACCGCUAGGUUUUAUGGGUAUUAUGACUCAUACUGUGGUACUCUAUGCCUACGAAAAUACAGCCAUGGUCACCUUCGAUGCAACUGGUUUGCAUCUCUCUGUCACCCCAGAGCUCACUGCCAUGGUUACCGCCAGUAAAUCAGUCUCUCUCUCUCCCUCUCACACACACCCAGACACUGUUGCACUAUGAAGUUAUUCUGCUCAAACAAUGCACUAGUAAAAGUGUUUCCUGUAGAUUGUUUAGUCACUGGAUGUUUAGUAAAGAACAGUAGAGUGGUGUAGAGAACAGUAGAAUGGUGUAGAGAACAGUAGAAUGGUGUAGAGUAGAGAACAGAGUGGUGUAGAGUAGAGAACAGUAGCGUAGAGUGGUGUAGAGAACAGUAGAGUAGAGAACAGUAGAGUGGUGUAGAGUAGAGAACAGUAGAGUGGUGUAGAGUAGAGAACAGUAGAGUGGGUAGAGUAGAGAACAGUAGAGUGGUGUAGAGUAGAGAACAGUAGAGUGGUGUAGAGUAGAGAACAGUAGAGUGGUGUAGUGUAGAGAACAGUAGAGUGGUGUAGAGUAGAGAACAGUAGAGUGGUGUGUAGAGAACAGUAGAGUGGUGUAGAGGAGAGACCAGUAGAGUGGUGUAGCGUAGAGAACAGUAGAGUGGUGUAGAGUAGAGAACAGUAGAGUGGUGUGGUGUAGAGUAGAGAACAGUAGAGUGGUGUAGAGUAGAGAACAGUAGAGUGGUGUAGAGUGGAGUGGUGUAGAAUACAGAACAGUAGAGUGGUGUAGAGAACAGUAGAGUGGUGUAGAGUAGAGAACAGUAGAGUGGUGUAGAGUAGAGAACAGUAGAGUGGUGUAGAGAACAGUAGAGGGGUGUAGAGUAGAGAACAGUAGAGUGGUGUAGAGUAGAGAACAGUAGAGUGGUGUAGAGUAGAGAACAGUAGAGUGGUGUAGAGUAGAGAACAGUAGAGUGGUGUAGAGUAGAGAACAGUAGAGUGGUGUAGAAUAGAGAACAGUAGAGUGGUGUAGAGUAGAGAACAGUAGAGUGGUGUAGAAUAGAGAACAGUAGAGUGGUGUAGAGUAGAGAACAGUAGAGUGGUGUAGAAUAGAGAACAGUAGAGUGGUGUAGAGAACAGUAGAGUGGUGUAGAGUGGUGUAGAGUAGAGAACAGUAGAGUGGUGUAGAGUAGAGAACAGUAGAGUGGUGUAGAAAACAGUAGAGUGGUGUAGAGUGGUGUAGAGUAGAGAACAGUAGAGUGGUGUAGAGUAGAGUGGUGUAGAGUAGAGAACAGUAGAGUGGUGUAGAGUAGCGAACAGUAGAGUGGUGUAGAGUAGAGAACAGUAGAGUGGUGUAGAGGAGAGAACAGUAGAGUGGUGUAGGAUAGAGAACAGUAGAGUAGAGAACAGUAGAAUGGUGUAGAAUAUGUUUAGGGGAGGGAAUGUUCUGUAGUAGUGUAUGUGUAGGGAUUGUUCUGUAGUAGUGUAUGUGAAGGGGAGGGAAAGUUCUGUAGUAGUGUAUGUGUAGGGGAGGGAAUGUUCUGUAGUAGUGUAUGUGUAGGGGAGGGAAUGUUCUGUAGUAGUGUAUGUGUAGGGGAGGGAAUGUUCUGUAGUAGUGUAUGUGUAGGGGAGGGAAUGUUCUGUAGUAGUGUAUGUGUAGGGGAGGGAAUGUUCUGUAGUAGUGUAUGUGUAGGGGAGGGAAUGUUCUGUAGUAGUGUAUGUGUAGGGAAUGUUCUGUAGUAGUGUAUGUGUAGGGAAUGUUCUGUAGUAGUGUAUGUGUAGGGGAGGGAAUGUUCUGUAGUAGUGUAUGUGUGG